rnacentral:lncRNA from 1 species
UUAGACUUGGUGUCUAAUUUAAUUUUGGAGCAAAAUAUAUGAAAUUCAAUGAUACUUUUGUAUUAUGUUAGACCCACAAAAUUCUUGGAGUAUAUUUGGUAUUGUGGUUGUUGAGUUUCUCUAUUACUAGUAUAUGAUGUGACUAGUAUGAAACUACCAAAUUAUAUAUAUACUUGUUCAAAAUAAUUGUGUUCUUUUAUGAAAAAGUGUCACUUAAAAUGUUGUGAUUUUUCAUGAAAAGAUAUGUCUAUUAUAAUAAAAGUAUUUCCA